GAUGAACGCUGGCGGCGUGCCUAAUACAUGCAAGUCGAGCGAACAGACGAGGAGCUUGCUCCUCUGACGUUAGCGGCGGACGGGUGAGUAACACGUGGAUAACCUACCUAUAAGACUGGGAUAACUUCGGGAAACCGGAGCUAAUACCGGAUAAUAUAUUGAACCGCAUGGUUCAAUAGUGAAAGACGGUUUUGCUGUCACUUAUAGAUGGAUCCGCGCCGCAUUAGCUAGUUGGUAAGGUAACGGCUUACCAGGGCAACGAUGCGUAGCCGACCUGAGAGGGUGAUCGGCCACACUGGAACUGAGACACGGUCCAGACUCUUACGGGAGGCAGCAGUAGGGAAUCUUCCGCAAUGGGCGAAAGCCUGACGGAGCAACGCCGCGUGAGUGAUGAAGGUCUUCGGAUCGUAAAACUCUGUUAUUAGGGAAGAACAAAUGUGUAAGUAACUAUGCACGUCUUGACGGUACCUAAUCAGAAAGCCACGGCUAACUACGUG
rnacentral:rRNA from 1 species